AGUGAGGAAUAUUGGUCAAUGGGGGCAACCCUGAACCAGCCAUGCCGCGUGGAGGAAGACGGCCCUAUGGGUUGUAAACUCCUUUUAUACAGGAAUAAAUGUUGUUACGUGUAGCGAUUUGAAUGUACUGUAUGAAUAAGCAUCGGCUAACUCCGUGCCAGCAGCCGCGGUAAUACGGAGGAUGCAGGCGUUAUCCGGAUUUAUUAGGUUUAAAGGGUGCGCAGGCGGUCUAUUAAGUCAGUGUUGAAAGUUUGCAGCUUAACUGUAAAAUUGGCAUUGAAACUGGUAGACUUGAAUAUGGUAGAGGUAGGCGGAAUGUGUAGUGUAGCGGUGAAAUGCUUAGAUAUUACACAGAACACCAAUUGCGAAGGCAGCUUACUAUCCCAUUAUUGACGCUGAGGCACGAAAGCGUGGGUAGCGAACAGGAUUAGAUACCCUGGUAGUCCACGCCGUAAACGAUGAUAACUGGUUGUGUGCGAUACACAGUGCGCGACUGAGGGAAACCAUUAAGUUAUCCACCUGGGGAGUACGUUCGCAAGAAUGAAACUCAAAGGAAUUGACGGGGGCCCGCACAAGCGGAGGAACAUGUGGUUUAAUUCGAUGAUACGCGAGGAACCUUACCUGGACUUAAAUGUAGAGUGCAUUCAUUAGAAAUAGUGAUUUCCUUCGGGACUCUUUACAAGGUGCUGCAUGGUUGUCGUCAGCUCGUGCCGUGAGGUGUCGGGUUAAGUCCCAUAACGAGCGCAACCCCUAUCGUUAGUUGCUAGCAGGUAAUGCUGAGGACUCUAACGAAACUGCCGGUGUAAACCGAGAGGAAGGUGGGGAUGACGUCAAAUCAGCACGGCCCUUAUGUCCAGGGCUACACACGUGUUACAAUGGAUGGUACAAAGAGCUGCUACUAGGUGACUAGAUGCUAAUCUUCAAAGCCAUUCUCAGUUCGGAUCGGAGUCUGCAACUCGACUCCGUGAAGUUGGAUUCGCUAGUAAUCGUAGAUCAGCAAUGCUACGGUGAAUACGU
rnacentral:rRNA from 1 species